GGCAUUGUGAUUAAAGCAGCUCUUUGUUCUCUGCAGGUGACUGGAACAGUAACCAUCCUGCUCAUGAGGAAGCCAGAAGAGACUACAGAAGAGAAAAUGGAAGAGAUGGACAAAGAGCUGCAGAGGCUGCCUUCUGUCACCCUCCAGACCCCCAGCUUCUCCUCCUUUUGACCCGCCACCACCAUGAGGCUAUGAACCCCUUCAUAGAAGAGCCCUUGGACCACAAAGCCUGGUCAUAUCUUUGCCUGAC
rnacentral:lncRNA from 1 species